rnacentral:ncRNA from 1 species
UCUGCUUUUCGAAGCAGACUUUUUCGUUGACGAAAAAGAUCUCCAACCUUUGUCGGCGCGACUCUUUCCAGUCGCGCUUUUUUUUU